rnacentral:rRNA from 1 species
AUUGAACGCUGGCGGAAUGCUUUACACAUGCAAGUCGAGCGGCAGCGCGGGGCAACCUGGCGGCGAGCGGCGAACGGGUGAGUAAUGCAUCGGAACAUGUCCAUGUCGUGGGGGAUAGCCCGGCGAAAGCCGGAUUAAUACCGCAUACGCCCGAGAGGGGAAAGUGGGGGACUCGCAAGGGCCUCACGCGAUUGGGUUGGCCGAUGUCCGAUUAGCUAGUUGGCGGGGUAAGAGCCCGCCAAGGCGAUGAUCGGUAGCUGGUCUGAGAGGAUGAUCAGCCACACUGGGACUGAGACACGGCCCAGACUCCUACGGGAGGCAGCAGUGGGGAAUUUUGGACAAUGGGGGCAACCCUGAUCCAGCCAUUCCGCGUGAGUGAAGAAGG